AUGGAGCAUGGCCUUGAACCCGUGCCGGUCGUACACGGUCAGCGGGCAGAUGCUGCCUGCAGGGGCGAGAGGAGAAUAGAAACAAAGCAUGGAUUCCCUUCCCUUCUGGGGGCAGAACAGCAAGGAGGGGAUAAAGAACAGCAAAAAAGAAAGGGUUUUCUCCACAUUUACUCUCCGAGCAGCACUUCCCUUCCGGACACCGCUGGUCCCCGACAUGUGGGAGCAGAGCGUGAGCGCUGCCAGAUGCUCGUUACCUGUGACACCCGUGGGGCCGGGGGCUGAGCCAUCUGCACCCCCGUGUUCGUGGCCAGCGACCACCCGCCUGUGCCGCCCCAGCGCCUGCAUGAGCUCGUCAUUGGCCUGCAGAAUUUCAGCUGGAAACAAGACAAGAAACAAAAUAUUGAUGUUCUAGGAGGGGAGUCAGAUCCCCAGCCUUUCCAGACUGCUCCUGAGGAAGGUACUGUGCACCCAUGGACCUGCCUGGAGCAUGGGCAGGUGGGACAACCUCCCUGCAGCUCCCAACUGCUUUUCAUUCCACUUUCUGAAGUGCAGCAUUUUGCACAUCCAUCUGCUGAUUUCUGGCCUCUCUCUAGUUACCAUGAUCACUUUGAAAUCUGAUCCUGUCUCCAGAGCACUGACAAUUCCUGCCACCUCUGUGCACUUUAUCAUUCUCUGUGGGUUCUCUGAGUGUACCUGAGUCUAUAAUCCAGGGCUGCGCAGCUGAAGAACCCCGGCAUUCAUGGGUAGGAAUGAGAUGUUUGAGUCACAGCUGAGCUCUUAGGUUUGCUGUUUAAGAUGCCUAUUCAGCAAGGCAUCACUUCGGAAUAGAAAUCCAAGGACAGAGUUGGCUCUUACCUAGAGCCUCAUCGUCAUCAGCUGUCUCACUGGCAAGGCGGAAGAGCAGCGGCCGAAGCUUCUCGCAGCGCUGAAACAGAGUCUGUGGAAGGAAACAUUUCAUGUCAUUGCUCAGGAGAUCCCAGACACUCUCACUUCUCUGUCUCUGUGACCACAUACAAGCAAUGCUGCCUCUAGAAAAAGAUGCACUUUCUGCAUGCAGAAAUGUGUCCAUGUACAGCAGCUGCACUCCCAACAGCAGCCGACUCCUGACUGUGCUGUCACACACAGACACAGUUCCUACCUACAAAAAUUCACUCAUUUAAAGUUUGUUCGUUUUGUUUGUUUUGUUUUGUUUUUUUAAUUUGAGAGUCUGGUUGACAUCCUAGUGGAGUUUCAGGUAUUUAAAACCAUAAAGCUAUUCUGACAGCCCUAUUAGUGACAUCAAACGUUUCCUCAGUUCAUUGACAGGUAUGAACAGCAGCAGACCAGGAACUCUGGGCAGAAAAAAGGGGAAUCACAGAAUCCAGAGCACAAGCUGAAGAACCCAGAGCUUUGUGCUUCUCUGGUCAGAGCUUGUCACACCCACAGAGCCAUGCCUGCCACAGGGGCUCCGUCUGCUCCAACACUGCUGCAACAAGAACCAUUUCCCCAUCAGACACCACACAAAGAGCAGCUGAACUUGGCAGAAACUCCAAGCAGCACAGUAGGACACAGUUUCAUCCCAGUGUCCGUUACACUGGUGGGACGGACCAUUAUCCAUCAAUGCUGUUGGAAACUCUUUCUGCCGUGGUUGUGCUCUUGCCAUGGCAGAAGCUGAGUACACCGCACUGCCCUCUAAGUCCUGUUGCCCGAGGCCCUCCCAGCCACGGCCAGACAAAAGAACCUCUUACGCAGGAAAAAGCAUAUUUACUUGUAGGGUCUCCUGGUCAGAUUUGGAUAAUUCUUGUCUCCUGUAGCUUUCCAGCAAUUCGUCCAUACGUUUAACAUUAUCAGAAACUUCACUGAUGGCAUUCGCUCUUCUGGAUGCCUUAGCUGACUUUUCUUGUUCCUUUGAUGAAAAAUGAAAUAAAAGCAGAUGAUGAUUUGGCUGA